rnacentral:rRNA from 1 species
GACGAACGCUGGCGGCGUGCCUAAUACAUGCAAGUUGAGCGCUGAAGGUUGGUACUUGUACCGACUGGAUGAGCAGCGAACGGGUGAGUAACGCGUGGGGAAUCUGCCUUUGAGCGGGGGACAACAUUUGGAAACGAAUGCUAAUACCGCAUAAAAACUUUAAACACAAGUUUUAAGUUUGAAAGAUGCAAUUGCAUCACUCAAAGAUGAUCCCGCGUUGUAUUAGCUAGUUGGUGAGGUAAAGGCUCACCAAGGCGAUGAUACAUAGCCGACCUGAGAGGGAGAUCGGCCACAUUGGGACUGAGACACGGCCCAAACUCCUACGGGAGGCAGCAGGAGGGAAUCUUCGGCAAUGGACGAAAGUCUGACCGAGCAACGCCGCGUGAGUGAAGAAGGGUUUCGGACCGUAAAACUCUGUUGGUAGAGAAGAACGUUGGUGAGAGUGGAAAGCUCAUCAAGUGACGGUAACUACCCAGAAAGGGACGGCUAACUACGUG